GGAGAGGUACCGAAGCGGCCAAACGGGGCAGACUGUAAAUCUGCUGGCUCUUGCCUUCGGAGGUUCGAAUCCUCCCCUCUCCACAA
rnacentral:tRNA from 1 species